rnacentral:rRNA from 5 species
GGCGAUCAGAUACCGCCCUAGUUCUAACCGUAAACGAUGACAACCAGCGAUUAAUCGGCGUUAAUAUACGACCCGAUUAGCAGCUUCCGGGAAACCAAAGUUUUUCGUUUCCGGGGGAAGUAUGGUUGCAAAGCUGAAACUUAAAGGAAUUGACGGAAGGGCACCACCAGGAGUGGAGCCUGCGGCUUAAUUUGACUCAACACGGGAAAACUCACCCGGCCCGGACACUGUAAGGAUUGACAGACUGAGAGCUCUUUCUUAAUUCAGUGGGUGGUGGUGCAUGGCCGUUCUUAGUUGGUGGAGCGAUUUGUCUGGUUAAUUCCGAUAACGAACGAGACUCUGGCCUAUUAAAUAGACGAGAUAUUACUCAGUAUCUCGCGCUUCUUAGAGGGACAAGCGGCGUCUAGUCGCAUGAAAAAGAGCAAUAACAGGUCUGUGAUGCCCUUAGAUGUCCGGGGCUGCACGCGCGCUACACUGAAAGAAUCAGUGGGCGUUUUACCUGGUUCGGAAGAACCGGGUAACCCAAGUAAUUUCUUUCGUGCUUGGGAUAGGGAAUUGCAAUUAUUUCCCUUAAACGAGGAAUUCCCAGUAAACGCGGGUCAUAAGCUCGUGUUGAUUACGUCCCUGCCCUUUGUA